rnacentral:rRNA from 1 species
CCUACGGGAGGCAGCAGUGGGGGAUAUUGCACAAUGGGGGGAACCCUGAUGCAGCGACGCCGCGUGGGUGAAGGAGCGUUUCGGCGCGUAAAGCCCUAUCGGCAGGGAAGAAGGAGGACGGUACCUGACUAAGAAGCCCCGGCUAACUACGUGCCAGCAGCCGCGGUAAUUCGUAGGGGGCAAGCGUUAUCCGGAUUUACUGGGUGUAAAGGGGGCGCAGACGGCAGCGCAAGCCAGGAGUGAAAGGCCGGGGCCCAACCCCGGGACUGCGCUUGGAACUGCGCGGCUUGAGUGCAGGAGGGGCAGGCGGAAUUCGUGGUGUAGCGGUGAAAUGCGUAGAUAUCAGGAGGAACACCGGUGGCGAAGGCGGCCUGCUGGACUGCGACUGACGUUGAGGCCCGAAAGCGUGGGGAGCAAACAGGAUUAGAUACCCUUGUAGUC